GAUGAACGCUGGCGGCGUGCUUAACACAUGCAAGUCGAACGGAAAGGCCAGUGCUUGCACUGGUACUCGAGUGGCGAACGGGUGAGUAACACGUGGGUGAUCUGCCCUGCACUUCGGGAUAAGCCUGGGAAACUGGGUCUAAUACCGGAUAGGACAAUGGUUUGGAUGCCGUUGUGGAAAGUUUUUUCGGUGUGGGAUGAGCUCGCGGCCUAUCAGCUUGUUGGUGGGGGGAUGGCCUACCAAGGCGUCGACGGGUAGCCGGCCUGAGAGGGUGUACGGCCACAUUGGGACUGAGAUACGGCCCAGACUCCUACGGGAGGCAGCAGUGGGGAAUAUUGCACAAUGGGCGCAAGCCUGAUGCAGCGACGCCGCGUGGGGGAUGACGGCCUUCGGGUUGUAAACUCCUUUCGCUAGGGACGAAGCGUAUUUGUGACGGUACCUGGAGAAGAAGCACCGGCUAACUACGUG
rnacentral:rRNA from 1 species